AACGAACGCUGGCGGCGUGCUUAACACAUGCAAGUCGAGUGCGCGUGCCGUAGCAAUACGGCAUGGCGCACGGCGCACGGGUGCGUAACACGUGGGCAAUCUGCCCUUCGAUGGGGAAUAACUCCGGGAAACCGAAGCUAAUUCCGCAUAACAUUCCUUGGACUUCGGUUCGAGGACUCAAAGCCGUAAGGCGUCGAAGGAGGAGCCCGCGCACGAUUAGCUAGUUGGAGGGUAACGGCCUACCAAGGCUUUGAUCGUUAGCUGGUCUGAGAGGAUGGCCAGCCACACUGGAACUGAGACACGGUCCAGACUCCUACGGGAGGC
rnacentral:rRNA from 1 species